CAGUCGCCACGGUAAUACGGAGGGUGCAAGCGUUAAUCGGAAUUACUGGGCGUAAAGCGCACGCAGGCGGUCUGUCAAGUCAGAUGUGAAAUCCCCGGGCUUAACCUGGGAACUGCAUUUGAAACUGGCAGGCUAGAGUCUUGUAGAGGGGGGUAGAAUUCCAGGUGUAGCGGUGAAAUGCGUAGAGAUCUGGAGGAAUACCGGUGGCGAAGGCGGCCCCCUGGACAAAGACUGACGCUCAGGUGCGAAAGCGUGGGGAGCAAACAGGAUUAGAUACCCCAGUAGUCCCUGUCUCUUAUAA
rnacentral:rRNA from 1 species